rnacentral:rRNA from 1 species
GGACGGGUGAGUAACGCGUGGGUAACCUGCCUUGUACUGGGGGACAACAGUUGGAAACGACUGCUAAUACCGCAUAAGCGCACAGCUUCGCAUGAAGCAGUGUGAAAAACUCCGGUGGUACAGGAUGGACCCGCGUCUGAUUAGCUGGUUGGUGAGGUAACGGCUCACCAAGGCGACGAUCAGUAGCCGGCUUGAGAGAGUGAACGGCCACAUUGGGACUGAGACACGGCCCAAACUCCUACGGGAGGCAGCAUG